rnacentral:misc_RNA from 1 species
AAUUCUCAAACCUCCAAUGGUUUUGCGACUAUUGAAGGCUUUGGAUUGUGGGGGUUGCUGGUUGUUUUGUAGUCAGCUCUCCUUAAAUGUAUUAGUGGUUACUGUUCUCCACUUAAUGAUGUGAUAGUUAUCUACAUCUUAAUAAGUGGGGUUGUUGAGUGUAGCCGCUGCCUAACCGUCCUUGGACAAAUUGAAACU